UACUAGCGGUCCAAGUCGCAGCCAUUUUUAUUGGGUCUAAAACAUCCGUAGCUUGCUUAAUAAGUUCUCUGUGAAAUCUUAUCUCUUAAGGAUAAGACGUGCAUAGAAUACUGUUGAGCUAGAGACUGGAAGACGUAAGAAGUAUGAUCAAAGUAGUGGUAAAAUACUUUAAUCUUGGUCAGACUCACAAUAGCGAAGGCAUCUUACGAGGACAGUUCUGACAGUAAAGGAUGAAGGCUAGGGGCGCAAAACGGAUUAGAUACCCUAGUA
rnacentral:rRNA from 1 species